rnacentral:rRNA from 1 species
GAUCCUGGCUCAGGAUGAACGCUAGCUACAGGCUUAACACAUGCAAGUCGAGGGGCAUCAUGGAGUUUGCUUGCAAACUCUGAUGGCGACCGGCGCACGGGUGAGUAACGCGUAUCCAACCUUCCCUAUAGUAGAGGAUAGCCCGGCGAAAGUCGGAUUAAUACUCUAUGUUUUCCGUUGCAGACAUCUAAGAUGGAACAAAGGCUUGCCGCUAUAGGAUGGGGAUGCGUCUGAUUAGGUAGUCGGCGGGGUAACGGCCCACCGAGCCAUCGAUCAGUAGGGGUUCUGAGAGGAAGGUCCCCCACAUUGGAACUGAGACACGGUCCAAACUCCUACGGGAGGCAGCAGUGAGGAAUAUUGGUCAAUGGGCGAGAGCCUGAACCAGCCAAGUAGCGUGCAGGAUGACGGCCCUAUGGGUUGUAAACUGCUUUUAUGCGGGGAUAAAGUUCGCUACGUGUAGUGUUUUGUAGGUACCGCAUGAAUAAGGACCGGCUAAUUCCGUGCCAGCCGCUGC